GUCGAGAAUCUUUCACAAUGGGGGCAACCCUGAUGGAGCGACGCCGCGUGGAGGAUAAGGUCUUCGGAUUGUAAACUCCUGUCAUGCGUGAACAAGGUUGCUUGGUUAAUACCUGGGCAAAUUGAUGGUAACGCAAGAGGAAGAGACGGCUAACUCUGUGCCAGCAGCCGCGGUAAUACAGAGGUCUCAAGCGUUGUUCGGAAUCACGGGGCGUAAAGGGUGCGUAGGUGGCGUGGUAAGUCAGAUGUGAAAGCCCGGGGCUCAACCUCGGAACUGCAUCCGAUACUGCCAUGCUAGAGUACUGGAGAGGUGACUAGAAUUCUCGGUGUAGCAGUGAAAUGCGUAGAUAUCGAGAGGAAUACCAAAGGCGUAGGCAGGUCACUGGACAGUUACUGACACUGAGGCACGAAGGCCAGGGGAGCGAACGGGAUUAGAAACCCGAGUAGUCC
rnacentral:rRNA from 1 species